rnacentral:rRNA from 1 species
AAGGGCACCACAAGAACGCGUGGAGCAUGUGGCUUAAUUUGACCCAACGCGGGAAAUCUUACCGGGUCCGGACACACUGAGGAUUGACAGGUUUUAUCCAGCCUCAACUUGUUGAGCUGGUGUCAAAAAUGCUAGUCCUUUCAUGAUUAUGUGAUAGGUGGUGCAUGGCCGUUCUUAGUUCGUGGAGUGAUCUGUCUGCUUAAUUGCGUUUCACUUUGAAUCUACAUUUAACGUAUGUUUGUGAGAUGGACUGAUCCCUCCCACUCUUCGAGUGUUGGAGCUGCGCGUCUUUCCAUCACCAUCAUAUCAUACUACGUAAGAUUCUGAAAGCAACGAACGUGACCG